UUUCCGGUUGAUCCUGCCGGACCUGACUGCUAUCGGAUUGGUACUAAGCCAUGCGAGUCGUUGUACAAUACAAGGCGGACUGCUCAGUAACACGUAGUUAACUUAACCUAUGGAUGGGCAUAACCUCGGGAAACUGAGAAUAAUACCCAAUGGACCACAGUGCCUGGAAUGGCCUGUGGUUGAGAUGAUUUAUCGCCGUAGGAUAGGACUGCGGCCUAUCAGCUUGUUGGUGAGGUAAUGGCCCACCAAGGCUAUAACAGGUACGGGCUCUGAGAGGAGGGGCCCGGAGAUGGGUACUGAGACACGGACCCAGGCCCUAUGGGGCGCAGCAGGCGAGAAACCUUUGCAAUGUGCGAAAGCACGACAAGGUUAAUCCGAGUGUCUCCUGCUAAAGGAGUCUUUUGUCAGUUGUAGAAUCACUGGCGAAUAAGGGGUGGGCAAGUUCUGGUGUCAGCCGCCGCGGUAAAACCAGCACCUCGAGUGGUCAGGAGGUUUAUUGGGCCUAAAGCAUCCGUAGCCGGUUGCAUGAGUUUUCGGUUAAAUCUAUGCGCUCAACGUAUAGGCCGCCGAAAAUACUGUGCAGCUAG
rnacentral:rRNA from 1 species